GGCAGCUGCGGGGAGGGUCUUCUUGGGGCAUCCUUGCCCCGCCCCAGUUCGGCCGCGGCGGGAGUCGGAGCCACUUCUCUGCAGGUCUUACUGUCCGGGGCAUGAGCGGGGUUUGGGGGACCGGAGGGCCUCGGUGCCAGGCGGCGUUCGCGGUCCUGGCCUCUCUGUGCCGGGCCCGGCCGCCCCCUCUCGGACUGGACGUGGAGACUUGUCGGAGCUUCGAGCUGCAACCCCCAGAACAGAGUCCGAGCGCGGCUGACUCAGGCACCUCUGUCAGCCUCCUCGCCGUGGUAGUUAUUGUGUGUGGCGUGGCCCUGGUGGCAGUUUUUCUCUUUCUCUUUUGGAAGCUGUGCUGGACGCCCUGGAGGAACAAGGAGGCCUCCAGCCCUUCUUCUGCUAACCCAGCUUCAGAGACCCUCCAGAGCCCCAGCUCCAGAGGCAACAUGGCAGAUAAGCUGAAGGACCCCAGUGCCCUGGGCUUCCUGGAGGCAGCUGUGAAGAUCAGCCACACUUCCCCAGACAUCCCAGCCGAGGUGCAGAUGUCCGUCAAAGAGCACAUCAUGCGUCACACGAGGCUGCAGCGACAGACCACAGAACCAGCGUCAUCCACCAGGCACACAUCCUUCAAGCGCCACCUGCCACGGCAGAUGCACGUCUCCAGCGUAGACUAUGGCAAUGAGCUGCCCCCAGCUGCCGAGCAGCCCACCAGCAUCGGCCGCAUCAAGCCCGAGCUCUACAAGCAGAAGUCGGUGGAUGGGGACGAUGCCAAGUCCGAGGCCGCCAAGAGCUGCGGGAAGAUCAACUUCAGCCUCCGCUAUGACUACGAGAGUGAGACCCUGAUCGUGCGCAUCCUGAAGGCCUUUGACCUCCCUGCCAAGGACUUUUGUGGAAGCUCUGACCCUUACGUCAAGAUCUACCUCCUGCCUGACCGCAAGUGCAAGCUGCAGACCCGGGUGCACCGCAAGACCCUGAACCCCACCUUUGAUGAGAACUUCCACUUCCCCGUGCCCUAUGAGGAGCUGGCUGAUCGCAAGCUGCAUCUCAGUGUCUUUGACUUUGACCGCUUUUCCCGCCAUGACAUGAUCGGAGAGGUCAUCCUGGACAAUCUCUUUGAGGCCUCUGACCUGUCCCGGGAGACGUCCAUCUGGAAGGACAUCCAGUACGCCACUAGUGAAAGUGUGGACUUGGGAGAGAUCAUGUUCUCCCUGUGCUACCUGCCCACAGCAGGCAGGCUCACCCUCACAGUGAUCAAGUGUCGCAAUCUCAAGGCCAUGGACAUCACAGGCUACUCAGAUCCCUAUGUCAAAGUAUCCCUGCUGUGUGAUGGGCGGAGACUGAAGAAGAAGAAAACGACCAUAAAAAAGAACACCCUCAACCCCGUCUACAACGAGGCCAUCAUCUUUGACAUCCCCCCAGAGAACAUGGAUCAAGUGAGCCUGCUCAUCUCCGUCAUGGACUACGAUCGAGUUGGCCACAAUGAGAUCAUAGGCGUCUGUAGAGUGGGCAUCAAUGCCGAAGGCCUCGGCAGGGACCACUGGAAUGAGAUGCUGGCAUACCCACGGAAGCCCAUCGCACACUGGCACUCCUUGGUGGAGGUAAAGAAAUCCUUCAAAGAGGGAACCCCUCGGGUGUGAUUUCAGUCACGUGGAUGCUGCAAGCGGAGAGACAGCCGCAGGAGUUAGGAUGGCAGGGCCGAGCUGCCAGCUUCGACAGUGAGAGCUCAUGCCCUUCUCCGAAACCACCUCCGACACCAUGAGCCACACGGCCCAGCCAAUGGGACUCUGCAACGUUAUUUUCGCACUUGUUUCAGUCGGUGUUUGUGCAGUCACGGUGAUGGUAGCCGCAGCAGCCACUGCCUGCCAGCCCAUGGUCUUAACUGCUCCUGUGCAGGGCAAGGCCGAGACCCUUGUCAUGUGUGAUCAGAUCUGUCGUAGUCUUCUCUGUCUCCCAAGGUGAUGUUUUUGUGGUUUUUUCUGCUUUGUUUGGGUCUGCUGCCGAGAGA